GCGCGACGUCUCCUAGCAACCACUUCUCCCUCCCGCGCCUGCGCGGUGUCUCCUAGCAACAACCUCUGCUCCCUGUGCGACGCCAUCUUGGCAGGCCUCGGCGCCGUCUUUGUGUCAUCGGAUGCCGUCUUUGUUCGCAUGCUGCCGUUGGUACCUGUCAAUAAAUUGAGUUUUAAGUAAGUAAUUCGAAGUAUUGAAGGCAAGAGAUGGGCGUGGCUGAACCAGAACCUACUGAUCAAACUCAGGGCAAAGAAAGGUGCAUACAAGCUCUGGCACAAGGCCGUGUCAUCUGGGAAGAAUACAGAGAUGCUGUCCAAGCUUGCAGAUGUGGGAUCAGGAAAGCCAAGGCGCAGGCAGAACUGAACUUGGUGAAGGACGUUAAAAACAAUAUGAAGAAAUUCUACAGGUAAAUUGGCCAGAAGAGACAGGCCAAAGUGAGUGUACCUCCUUUGGUAAAUGUAAAAGGAGAACUGGCUUCAAUGGAUGAAGAGAAGGCUGAGGUACUGAAUGAGUUCUUCAUCUCGAUCUUCACUGGCAGGUAGGACUCUAGUAUUUCUCGCAUCCCUAAACCUCAAGGUGGGGAAUAGGGGAGUAAAUCCCCCCUCACUGUAAGGGCAGAGCAAGUCCGAGACCACCUCGUGUGACUGAAUACGUACAAGUCUAUGGGGCAUGCAUCCCAGGGAUCUGAAGGAACUGGCUGAUGUGUUUGCUGAGCUGCUAUCCAUGCAUACCUGGAAAGCAGAAUAGUAUCUGGAGGAAGACAAAUUCCGUUUCCUCCCAUUUCCAACUGAAUGUGUGGCUGAAAACCUCCAGUGCAUCCAGCAGAAUUGACUGCUUAAUCAAGGCCAGCAGUGACCAAGCAAGAUGCACUUUAUGUCUGAGGGGACACAUCAGAACAGAGAGGCAGCAAAGAUGGGAUUGAAAUCCAGAGACACUGUGGGACUGUUGAGCAACAUCCACAUAUGGGAAUGAUGGUGCUUUCCCACACAGAGGCAAAGGCUGGGAUGCAGCAAAACUUUAAUGAGUCAGAAGAGGGAAGUGAGAUCACUGGGAGGGAAGACUCUGCUGCAGAAAACAUUAGGGACAGUUGAUAGUCUGUGCUGCGUGACCAUGAUGGACAUGCCACCAGCUGUCCAUCUGCCCUUUGCGCAGAGGGAGAAGGGCCAUCAGGUCCUCCCUAUGCUAGCUUUGUGGGACUGACUGUCCAGGGGAGUGGAUAGUGAGCAGCAAUGGCACAGGAUGGCAAAGAGAGAGUGGGAAAGGGGAAAGGCAAAAAUGGACCAUGUCUUCUGAGAGCACAGGCUGAACUCCAAUGCUGUGUCUCAGUUCUGUUUCCAACUUCUGGGUCCCUGGGGUCUUUUUUCCAGGGUCAUAACCAUCAGCUUUAGCAGGGGAAGAACAUGCUGCUGUAGUGGCUGCCAGAGCCGGAGAGGCCAAAGUCUCCAAAGGAGAUGGGCAUACCUCCAGAGCUGAGGAAGCCUUUUUUCUUGCCCUUAAUGUCCUCUGCCAAACUGAAUUCUGUCAGGCUUUUAUCUUUCCCCACUUUAUCCCUGUCUGCACGGACACUAUGGCUGUAUUCCUCUCAGGUUACCUGCCCUUGCUUCCAUCCUCCAGAGACUUCAUGUUUUUGUAUUUGAGUUUGACCAAGACUUGUCUCCCCAUGCAGGCCUCCUGACACUUUAUCUGAUGUUCUCUUUCUUUUGAUGCCUCACUCCUGACAUUCCAGGAGUUGUGAUCCUUGUGAAUUAACCAGCUUCCUUGGGCUCCUCUUCCUUCCAGGGUCUUAUCUCAUGAUAAUCUAUACAGUAGGUCCUUGAAAAGGACAUUUUCUGCUCUCCUGAAUUCCAGCACUGUGAGAUUACUGUGUUCACUUUGCUGCCUUUAGGAUAUUCAGCACUACCAUCUCAUGGACACUGAGGCCAGUGCUGCCUUUCACAUUCACAUUCAGCACAAGACCCAUACAGCACACUCCUCAUUUGUCUGUCAUCUGGAGAAAGAAGCUCCACAGAAAAUGAAUCUCCUCAUUUGCUUAUGGCCUGCUAAGUUGUUCCUCCAGCAGAUACCGUGAUGACUGGAGGUUUUCAUCUUGUUGCACAAUGGCCAGAGACUGUCAGAUCUGAGAGAGAGGGAAGGAAUAGAAACAAUUAUGUAGCAUGUCUGUAAGGAAGAGAAGCCUUAGGCGUACAGCUGCAGAUUUUAGUGCUGUGAGAAGUUGGUUCUAUUUCUAUUAAGAGAGUUGCCAUCCAUUCCUCCUCCAGAGACUCCCAAGCCAUGCCCUGUCCGCUGACUGAACACAACUGCUCCUUCAUUCUCUGCUCCUAUUCUGUUGAUGGUGAUGUUGCUGUACUGGUAUAACACUUGGGUCACUUACACCAACACUUGAAAGAAGUUACCUGGGCAAAGUAGACAUGUCAGAAAUGAAGAAAUGAAAUUGCUGAGUUGAGGGAGACAACACCACAACCUGAACCAGUAGGAAGGAUUAUGUGCAUUUGAGAUGAUUCUCUUGGAAAAUUACUGCCUUAGUGGAGCUAUUAUAGGCCUGAGGCAGUGGUGGAACAGCAUAAAAUUGUGUCCAUCUCCUCAUUCUCUCACCCAUUCCUUGCUUCCAUCUCCCUGUAAACGAGGUGAGUCCAAAUCCCUUCCAUCAACCUCUCAUCCUCAGGUAUUUCUCUAUGUCUGCAAGUGCCUUCAUCCAAGCACAAGGCUGCCUAGGCAGGCAGCUGUUGCAAAUUGGGCAGUACCAUUGGAAACAAGGGGAAGUAAAAAAAACCCUUGCCCAGGACUUGCCUGUAAUUUUCAAUCCUCAGCAAAAUUUGAGGCAAUAGUGCAAAAGCAUGGCCUCUUACAGGCAGGGGCUUGGAACCUGAUGAUCUGUGUGGACUCUUCCAACUCAAUCCAUUAUGUGAUUGUAUGAUCUUGUGACAGAGAGGCAGCAGAGCUGGGCAUGAAUGCCAGGGAAACUGUAGGCCUGGAGGACCCUUCUUCAAGUGGUAGUGGCAGAUUUCUCCAAUGAGAGCUAAUUGCUCUUUCAUCCAGGUUAUUCCUGAUGGGGAAAAGGCGAUGGGUGCACAAAUGCCUCAAACUUUCUCUGAGGUCUCCAGAGAAGCUGAUAUCUGCUGGCAGCAGGACUGUUUGCAGAGUAGAGUGAGUGAUGCUGAGGCACAGACUGAGAUACAACACAUCUUUAUUGAGUCAAAAGAGGGGAACAGAAUUGUUCCAAAGGGUGAUAAACAUGCAGGAAGAACCAGGGAUAGAGUCGGCACUCUGGCCAUGGUGGAUGUCUGACCAGCUGUCCAUCUGCACUUUCCACAGAGGGAGAUGGGCCAUCAUGUCCUCCCUAGUCUGGAUUCCUGGGUUUGACAGACCACAGGGGCACAGGUGACAAAGAAGGCAUCAGGAGGAAAAGGACUGAGCAGAAGAGGGGAAGGGCAAACAUGGACAAAGCUUCCCGAGAGAUCAUGCUGGACCUGUUCAUUUGCAAUUGGUGCUGGCGUUGCUUGGACCCUGUAAAAACAAGAUUCCAGUGCUCCUCUGCAGGACUGCUACCAGCUUCUGCGUCCAGGGCAGUCUUUGUCCAAGGGCAA